GAGUUUGAUCCUGGCUCAGGAUGAACGCUGGCGGCGUGCUUAACACAUGCAAGUCGAACGAAGCACUUAGGACAGAUUACUUCGGUUUGAAGUCCUAUUUGACUGAGUGGCGGACGGGUGAGUAACGCGUGGGUAACCUGCCUCAUACAGGGGGAUAACAGUUAGAAAUGACUGCUAAUACCGCAUAAGCGCACAGUCUCGCAUGGGACAGUGUGAAAAACUCUGGUGGUAUGAGAUGGACCCGCGUCUGAUUAGCUAGUUGGUGAGGUAACGGCUCACCAAGGCGACGAUCAGUAGCCGGCCUGAGAGGGUGAACGGCCACAUUGGGACUGAGACACGGCCCAAACUCCUACGGGAGGCAGCAGUGGGGAAUAUUGCACAAUGGGGGAAACCCUGAUGCAGCGACGCCGCGUGAAGGAAGAAGUAUUUCGGUAUGUAAACUUCUAUCAGCAGGGAAGAAAAUGACGGUACCUGACUAAGAAGCCCCGGCUAACUACGUGCCAGCAGCCGCGGUAAUACGUAGGGGGCAAGCGUUAUCCGGAUUUACUGGGUGUAAAGGGAGCGUAGGCGGUUCAGCAAGUCAGAAGUGAAAGCCCGGGGCUCAACUCCGGGACUGCUUUUGAAACUGUUGAA
rnacentral:rRNA from 1 species